GAUGAACGCUGGCGGCGUGCCUAAUACAUGCAAGUCGAGCGAACAGAUGAGGAGCUUGCUCCUCUGACGUUAGCGGCGGACGGGUGAGUAACACGUGGAUAACCUACCUAUAAGACUGGGAUAACUUCGGGAAACCGGAGCUAAUACCGGAUAAUAUAUUGAACCGCAUGGUUCAAUAGUGAAAGACGGUUUUGCUGUCACUUAUAGAUGGAUCCGCGCCGCAUUAGCUAGUUGGUAAGGUAACGGCUUACCAAGGCGACGAUGCGUAGCCGACCUGAGAGGGUGAUCGGCCACACUGGAACUGAGACACGGUCCAGACCCCUACGGGAGGCAGCAGUAGGGAAUCUUCCGCAAUGGGCGAAAGCCUGACGGAGCAACGCCGCGUGAGUGAUGAAGGUCUUCGGAUCGUAAAACUCUGUUAUUAGGGAAGAACAAAUGUGUAAGUAACUAUGCACGUCUUGACGGUACCUAAUCAGAAAGCCACGGCUAACUACGUG
rnacentral:rRNA from 1 species